rnacentral:rRNA from 1 species
GACGAACGCUGGCGGCGUGCUUAACACAUGCAAGUCGAACGGAAAGGCCAUGCUUUUGUGGGGUGCUUGAGUGGCGAACGGGUGAGUAAAACGUGAGUAAAAUGUCCUUGAAUUUGGGAUAAAUUCAGGAAAAUGGGGCUAAUAUCGGAUAGGAGCUUUUGAUGCAUGGUGGGGGAUGGAAAGAUUCGGCGGUUGGGGCUGGACUCGCGGCUUAUCAGCUUGUUGGUGGAGUAGUGGCUUACCAAGGCUUUGACGGGUAGCCGGCCUGAGAGGGUGACCGGCCACAAUGGGACUGAGAUACGGCCCAGACUCCUACGGGAGGCAGCAGUGGGGAAUAUUGCACAAUGGGCGGAAGCCUGAUGCAGCAACGCCGCGUGCGGGAUGACGGCCUUCGGGUUGUAAACCGCUUUCGCCUGUGACGAAGCGUGAGUGACGGUAAUUGGUAAAGAAGCACCGGCUAACUACGUG